CCAGAUUCAUUAUUUUUUUCCCCAGCUGAUCGGCUAAGAUUAUAAUGUGCUUUUUGUUCAAAUCUCUUUUUCAGCAAAAGAGGUUUUCCAAGCCAGUAUUCUGAUCCAU